GCUCUGUCAAAUCAAACUCCUCGCGACGCCCCGCUCGCACAACACCACGUUCCUCUCAACCGUCCGUCGGCCUCAACGCGGCGAAGCAAAAAGAUCACCUGCCAGCCUCCGCAAUCCGCAUCCACUUCCCUAGCUUAAAAGACUCCGACACCCAAUCCCACUGCCUGAUCACAACUCGCAAACCGAACCCACUUGGCGUUGCGCUGGCCGGCAAGUUGGCUCGGCGGCGAUGGAGAAGAAGCUGCUGCCGCUGGUGCACAAGCACAUGCACGGCGGCGGCGGGGAGCGGAUGUGGGCGCGGCCGUGGCGGUGGGCCAAGACGGCCUUCUUCCUCGCCGCCAUGCUCGCCUCGCUGCUGCUUGUCUGCGGGCCGCCGCCGCUCGUCAUGCUCCUCGACCUCGCCCUCCCGCCGGCGCUCCUCUCCGCUAGUCUCAGCGCCGGCGACGGUCUCGCUUAUGGCUCGUUCACGUCGGCGGUCCUGGCCCAGGCGCGCGCGUUCGACUUCCGGUCGUCCCUCGUCGACCUGCCCGCCGUCUCCGCUGCGCGCGCGCUCCUCGUCCUCUGUGCGUACGUGGUGUUCGGGGGAGGCGCGGCGUACCUGUGGGUCGUCGUGGCGUGCGCCGCGGGGUCCGUGUCCUACGUGCUGGCCAAGGCCGCGGCCGUGCUGCCACCCCGAGCCGCGCUGCAGGGAGGGAACGCGCGCGCCGUGACCGUAGCCGCCGGCCCGGAGGCCAUGCUCCUGCUCUCGCUGGCGCUCGCCGCCGCGCACCUCGCAGCGGCGUACCGGGCCAGCUGCCGCGAGCGCCGGCGCAUGCUCGUGUACAGGAUCGACGUUGAAGCGGUAAGUGCCAGCAUAACCAAUCCUCUCUCUGCCUUCCGCCCUGCAAAUCGCACGAGCUAUCUUCUUCCACAAACCUUCACGCCUGCGCAACGAAAAAUCCGAAUCUUUUUCUGCAUCUCAGAAGGCAUUAUGAUUCUCACGAACAAUCCAGGCAUGUUGUUGGGUUCAUCGACACCCUAUCGUCUCUGCUUUCGGUGACAAAGAGGACAUAAGAUUCUCGCGCAUAGCCAUUAACGCGUAGCUGCAACGCGCCGCAGAGUUUAGGAACAAAAGGUUAAGCCGUGCUCUUCAGUUGCACACUGGUAGACUAGACAAGGAUAUCUGCUGCAUUUGAAAGUGCCUUAAAGUUUGGCUAAAAGGAGGCCAUCAAACACCUAAAGGGCUGAAGCAAUGUAGUGUCUGACAGACACUGUGUUCUCGUCCUUAUUAGACCCAAUUUUUGGUUGAGUUGUUCUUCGUCAUCUGUACACUAAGAUACGUUACUUGUAUACUCACCGUCACUAUCCGAAGCGAAGAUAAUGUAAAUACGAAACAGCUGUUGCUUAAUCAAUCAGUCCGGCCGGCCUCCUGCGAUGCGAUCCAGGACGAGCCGUGUUCAA